AUUGAACGCUGGCGGCAGGCCUAACACAUGCAAGUCGAAUGGUAACAGGAAACAGCUUGCUGUUUCGCUGACGAGUGGCGGGCGGGUGAGUAAUGUCUGGGAAACUGCCUGAUGGAGGGGGAUAACUACUGGAAACGGUAGCUAAUACCGCAUAACGUCGCAAGACCAAAGAGGGGGACCUUCGGGCCUCUUGCCAUCAGAUGUGCCCAGAUGGGAUUAGCUAGUAGGUGGGGUAACGGCUCACCUAGGCGACGAUCCCUAGCUGGUCUGAGAGGAUGACCAGCCACACUGGAACUGAGACACGGUCCAGACUCCUACGGGAGGCAGCAGUGGGGAAUAUUGCACAAUGGGCGCAAGCCUGAUGCAGCCAUGCCGCGUGUAUGAAGAAGGCCUUCGGGUUGUAAAGUACUUUCAGCGGGGAGGAAGGGAGUAAAGUUAAUACCUUUGCUCAUUGACGUUACCCGCAGAAGAAGCACCGGCUAACUCCGUG
rnacentral:rRNA from 1 species